UGGCGAUACACAGUCAGUGGCUUAGCGAAAGCGUUAAGUUAUCCACCUGGGGAGUACGACCGCAAGGUUGAAACUCAAAGGAAUUGACGGGGGCCCGCACAAGCGGAGGAACAUGUGGUUUAAUUCGAUGAUACGCGAGGAACCUUACCUAGACUUGAACGUAUUUGGACAGAUCCAGAGAUGGAUUCUUCUUUCGGGACCAUUUACGAGGUGCUGCAUGGUUGUCGUCAGCUCGUGCCGUGAGGUGUCGGGUUAAGUCCCAUAACGAGCGCAACCCUUGCCAAUAGUUGCCAGCGAGUAAUGUCGGGGACUCUAUUGGGACUGCCGGUGUAAACCGUGAGGAAGGUGGGGAUGACGUCAAAUCAGCACGGCCCUUACGUCUAGGGCGACACACGUGUUACAAUGGCCAGUACAGAGGGUCGCUACUAAGUGAUUAGAUGCUAAUCUCAAAAACUGGUCUCAGUUCGGAUUGGAGGCUGAAACUCGCCUCCAUGAAGCUGGAUUCGCUAGUAAUCGCAUAUCAGCCAUGAUGCGGUGAAUACGUUCCCGGGCCUUGUACACACCGCCCGU
rnacentral:rRNA from 1 species